ensembl:lncRNA
UCCCGCUGCGUCUCACUGUUUCUCUCUCUGUCUAUUGUUGUGUAUCUAAACUGUCUUUAUAUCAUUGAUCCUGAUGAUGAUGUAAGUGCAGGCGGCUGAGGUGCAGACAGGAGAUCUAUCCUGAGCAAAUCAUCUACAGUCUGUGGAGCUUCUUCAUCUACCGCAGACCUGCUGUGAAGUGCAUCAUGGGAAAUCUUCUGCUUCAUAAUAAGCCGGUCAGAGGUCACUGGUGAAAUCUUCAUCUGAUGGUGUGUUAAGAGCCGCUGGUUUGGCUGUGAUCUGAACCGUCUGUGUUUCAGUGUCUGUAAUCAGAUUCACCUGCGGGCCGCUGGACGCCGGUCAGACGCUCAUGGCCCGCAGAUGACAGGAAGGCCUUACGACUGGAAUGUCCUCUUCUCCAGAGAGGAAAUUAACUUCUUGUGAUUUUCCGAAAGCGAUGGCCACCGCUUGGUCUGAAGGCCGAGGGUUAGACGGCUGCGACUGGAAUCUGGGCCUGCUGAGCGAAGCGUGAGGAGCUUCGGCUGAAGAACAGGCUGCUUCCUCUCUUCAGAAGCUUUCAUUAAGAGUGAUUCUGUUGAGGAGCUGGCGAGCGAUGAAGCGGCUCUGCCUCGGGCCUUUGAACGCGUCUGCGUCCGAGCCGUCGGUAGCGCUGCGGAGAAAUCUCUUUUUAUCAUCUCUGCGUCUCUAGAGAUAAUCGACUCGUCUCUGAGUGGGUUGAAAAAGUUUUUCCGUCCAGCAGAUUAGUGCCACAGUUUAGCGCAGCUCAUAUUCAAACAGGCUGCCAAACACAUCCAGUCACAACCCGAGAGCCAGUUUAAGCAAACACAGGAAAUGCCUUCAGAACAGAGUCUGCUUGACUGGAAACAAUAAGGAAGGGUGAACAUCCGGCUAACAAUAGAAACAAGAAACAUUUCUGCAUUCUCUUAAAGCAAACUGACAUAUACUCGUGUACCUGCUAAUAAAAGCCAAUCUAUUGCUAGCUAAGUUUCCAAAGGUAGUCAGCAGAAUUAAGACACCUCGUUCUGGGGAUGUAUCCUUCACAGAGAAGGCAAUCCCAGAAUGCAUUGCUCGGAGAAGUAUGUAGUUGGAUGUUGAAGUAUGUUGAUAUUUUAAGGGUUUUGCAUGCAGUCUCUCAAAAAAGUCCAUAUGUAUAUAUUUAUUACACGAUAAAUCAUAUAAUAAAAUAGUAUUAUAAAAAGAAAAUAUAUAUAUAAAAAAUAAUUCUGAUAAAUGAUUAUUUUUAUAAAAUAAAUUAAUACUUUUAUUCAUCAAGAACACAUUAAAUUGAUCAAGUGAGGGUAAAUACAUUUAUAAUUUGAUUUCUGUUUCAAAUAAAUGCUGUUCUUUUGAACUUUCUAUUCAUCUGUGAAUGCUGAAAAAUAAAAUGUAUCACGGUUUCCACAAAAAUAUUGUGCAGCACAACUGUGUUCAACAAUGAUAAUAAUCAGAAAUGUUUCUUGAGCAGCAAAUCAUCAUAUUAGAAUGAUUUCUGAAGAUCAUGUGACACUGAAGACUGGAGUAAUGAUGCUGAAAAUACAGCUGCACAUCACAGAAAUAAAUUACAGUUUAACAGAUAUUCACACAGAAAACAGCUGUUUUAAAUUAUAAUAAUAUUUCACAAUUUUACUGUAUUUUUGAAAAAUGUAUCGUUAACUGAUGAUUGCAAAUGAACAUUCUUUGUGGUAUAAAUAAGUGCUGUUCAUGUAGUGUGUUCCAGAUCAGUCCCUUAUGAGGGAUCACUUCAGUUGGGAUGCUGUAGACAGUGAGGCAGCUCACUAGGGUUUGGAAAAGAGCCUGUGUGCACUUUUGUUUAGAAAGAGUCUGCCAAGAAAAUAUCCAUAAAUCUAAGUGUGUAUAUGAGCACUUCGAAAGACUGCGGCCAAAACACACUGUUCAAAUAUAUCGUCAUGGUCACAAUAUCUCAGGCCUGUAACUUCAUCAAAGUCACAAAGCUAAAAAACGCAGUUUAGAGCAAAAUUAUUCAGAAAAGCAGGUCUAUUUCUAUAAUAAUAAAAUGGCUCCAAUUUAAAGAGGACCAUGUGCUCAGUGAAAAGAUUCCCGACUCUCGCCAGCUUUUAUUGGGACGCUUUGGCUGCAGGAUGUUCUGCUCUUGGAUUUGAG